rnacentral:rRNA from 1 species
UGAACGCUGGCGGCGUGCCUAAUACAUGCAAGUCGAGCGAACGGACGAGAAGCUUGCUUCUCUGAUGUUAGCGGCGGACGGGUGAGUAACACGUGGAUAACCUACCUAUAAGACUGGGAUAACUUCGGGAAACCGGAGCUAAUACCGGAUAAUAUUUUGAACCGCAUGGUUCAAAAGUGAAAGACGGUCUUGCUGUCACUUAUAGAUGGAUCCGCGCUGCAUUAGCUAGUUGGUAAGGUAACGGCUUACCAAGGCAACGAUGCAUAGCCGACCUGAGAGGGUGAUCGGCCACACUGGAACUGAGACACGGUCCAGACUCCUACGGGAGGCAGCAGUAGGGAAUCUUCCGCAAUGGGCGAAAGCCUGACGGAGCAACGCCGCGUGAGUGAUGAAGGUCUUCGGAUCGUAAAACUCUGUUAUUAGGGAAGAACAUAUGUGUAAGUAACUGUGCACAUCUUGACGGUACCUAACCAGAAAGCCACGGCUAACUACGUG